UCCCAGCGGUCCAAGUCGCAACCACAAUUAUUGGGUCUAAAACAUCCGUAGCUUGUUUGUUAAGUUUCUUGUGAAAUCCUGCAUCUUAAGUGUAGGGCGUGCAAGAAAUACUGGCGAACUUGAGACCGGAAGACGUAAGGAGUAUGAUUAAGGUAGUAGUAAAAUACGUUGAUCUUAAUCAGACUAACAACAGCGAAGGCACCUUACGAGUACGGAUCUGACAGUGAGGGAUGAAGGCUAGGGGCGCGAAAGG
rnacentral:rRNA from 1 species